GUGGUUUGACCGGAGCGGGGGCACACCAGAGAAGCGAUCUCGUCCCCAUUAUUCAGGUACCCUUCAUCUUUCUCUCGUUCGACCUCUCCAAGAAAGUUAUAUAGGUAUAGUAAGCUAAUUGUGUUUUCUGGGUGCUGUAUAGGACACUACGGUUAAAGAUUGGUCUCAUUUAUAUUGAUGUUGCUGAUUAUCAAAUCAAUGGAUGUUAUCUAGAGUGCUUCUCCUUCCGAUUUGACGUACUAUGUCUUCCAGCUUAUACUAUAUAUGAUUUCUUUCAAUGGUUUUAACUAAUUAUGGAUAUGUAUCUAAUUAUGUUAUUUUGGCAUCAACAAAUUACUCACCUAGCAUUUAUUCUGCUAUAUGGAAACAAUCGGUGCCUAUUUCUUUUUUAUCUGAACUCAGACAUAAUUCUGCUAUAUGUAAACAAUCAUUGGUUCUUUCCAUUCUAUCUAAACUGAGAAAUAACUCUAAUCAGUUGUUUUUUAUUUACUGUCCAAGUAUCAUUCUUACCUAAAACUUGUGCCAAAACUGGUUUUUCUUUCAUAUGUGCCAUAGAUUAUCCAACCCCCUCUGCUUCUGUACAAUUUUGUCGACUUAUCUGGCAUUUUCUCAGCCGUGUGGAACCAGCACAUCUACCUGCGAAUCUCCAGGCUAUGAUAUCAGCAGGGUUGCUUCGAUGAUGGCCCUAUCAAGAGUAUACAUGUGUGCUCUUCUAUAGGGAAAUCAUGCCAACAAGAUGGUGCCUAAUGAGGUCAUAGACAUGUUUUAGACACUUUGCAUGAGAGAAAUUUAUACAAGUGUGCCAGGAUCCAUGUGAGGUUCCCUGUAACAAUUCUGAGGGUAGUGGAAGGCACGUAUACAUUAUGGUUCACUAGAUCAACAAUUGUCUUCACCUUGAGGGUGUUUUCAUUUGGUCAUGUUUGUUAACAUGCUUAGUUGCUUCUUCUUUAUUAUGUUUCUGCUCCGAUAACUUUCUCAUAUUAUAUCACUUUUGUUAUUAACCAUCGUAUCGAAUGGC
rnacentral:lncRNA from 1 species